rnacentral:rRNA from 1 species
CAACGGCGAGUGAAGCGGCAACAGCUCAAAUUUGAAAGCUGGCCCCCCCCGGGGGUCCGCGUUGUAAUUUGUAGAGGAUGAUUCGGCGAGGGCUCCCGCCUAAGUCCCCUGGAACGGGGCGUCAUAGAGGGUGAGAAUCCCGUAUGCGGUGGGCUGCCUUAGCCAUGUGAAUCUCCUUCGACGAGUCGAGUUGUUUGGGAAUGCAGCUCUAAAUGGGAGGUAAAUUUCUUCUAAAGCUAAAUACCGGCCAGAGACCGAUAGCGCACAAGUAGAGUGAUCGAAAGAUGAAAAGCACUUUGGAAAGAGAGUUAAAAAGUACGUGAAAUUGUUGAAAGGGAAGCGCUUGCAGCCAGACUUGUCCGCAGUUGCUCAGCCGGUCUCCUGACCGGCGCACUCUUCUGCGGCCAGGCCAGCAUCAGUUCGGGCGGUCGGAUAAAGGCCCCGGGAACGUAGCUCCUCUCGGGGAGUGUUAUAGCCCGGGGUGGAAUGCGGCCAGCCUGGACUGAGGAUCUCGCUUCGGCUAGGAUGCUGGCGUAAUGGCUGUAAGCGGCCCGUCUUGAAACACGGACCAAGGAGUCUAACAUCUAUGCGAGUGUUUGGGUGUCAAACCCAUGCGCGUAAUGAAAGUGAACGGAGGUGGGAACCCUCGCGGGUGCACCAUCGACCGAUCCUGAUGUCUUCGGAUGGAUUUGAGUAAGAGCAUAGCUGUUGGGACCCGAAAGAUGGUGAACUAUGCCUGAAUAGGGUGAAGCCAGAGGAAACUCUGGUGGAGGCUCGCAGCGGUUCUGACGUGCAAAUCGAUCGUCAAAUUUGGGUAUAGGGGCGAAAGACUAAUCGAACCAUCGACUACUAGGUGGUUAAGAGGUGGCUGAAAGUGCCCACCUAGUCCCCCCGUCCGAGGACGGGGGGGCGACAUCGCCAAAUUGCGGGGACUCCCUUAGAGCCUCUACUACCGCGGCCGGCCGAAAGGCGCGGUGCAGCACCGGGUUAAUUGCCUAGGGUACGGUAAAAAGGUAGAGGAUUGGGAAAUCCGCAGCCAAGCGCCUAAGUCCCGCGGGAUACGGCGAAGGUUCAGAGACUAGAUGGCGGUGGGUCCGGCCCGAGGGCCGGGCCUAAGGUAUAGUCCACCCCCCGC